rnacentral:lncRNA from 1 species
UGUUGUGGGACCCCUCGACUAGUCAGGAGCUUGGCCGCCCGCCAGGAGGUCGGGACAGUAUUCUUAAGGACCUUACAGGAAGGCUCGAAACCAGCCCUCUUCCUGCCCACGUGGGUAAUUUCAUCUGGUGACUGAGAACCGCCCGGGCUACAGUGUCCUCAUCUGUAAAAUGGGUCUGAGGUCAGAUCCCCCGCCGCAUAUACAGAGGCCAGGCCCAUGGAUGGGCUUCACGGUUGACUGGGAUCCUGGAUCCUUCGAGAUCUUUCCGAGAGGAGCCAGAGACAUAGCUGGGUGAACGCUGGGGGUUUUGGGCAAAGGAUUCACACGGAACUCGGAAGGGGGUACGGGCCGUUCUCCCUGGGCUGUGUGGCUGGAAGCCUCGGGACGCCCUGGUCCUUCUCCCACGGCCGCAAACGGGCCAGCGGGGCCGGGUGACGGGCCGCUGACCCCGCCUCAACCUCACUCGUGGCGGACAUAGUGACGGCCAAAGGGGGUGUCCUGCGACCCCAAACCCCACCCGAGUUGGGCAGAACUGACUAGUUUUCUUUCCCCCUUCACAUCCUCCUAACCUUGGUUGCCAUAACCCCAAGGGCCCCUCAAAAUGACAUCCAAGUGCCUUUACCAUCAUCAAAGAUGGGAGGGGUGUGUUCUCACAGCAGCAUUAGGACUUGACCGAAAGUCAGCAAAGUGGGAUCUCCCACCCCCUCUGCCCAACCCCCAUCCCAACAUGAACCGAGACCCCCCCCAGCCCCCCAUCCUAACAGGAACCAAGACCCCCAGCCCCCCAGCACCCCCCAGCCCCCUAGCCCCGCAGCCCCCUCCUGCUGUAUUUGGUUGGAAUCUAAUAAAAUGAAGCUGAUUUAAUAACAGA